UUUGAUCAUGGCUCAGAAUGAACGUUGGCGGCGUGGAUUAGGCAUGCAAGUCGUACGCAUAGCUUCGGCUAUGAGUGGCGCAAGGGUGAGUAAUGCGAAGGUAACCAACCCUGGUGUUGGGCAUAGCCGCGGGAAACUGCGGGUAAUUCCCAGCGACGUCACGAGAUGGCAUCAUCUUGUGACCAAAGGUGUGAUUCCGCUCUAGGACGGGCCUUCGUGGUAUUAGGUAGUUGGUGAGGUAACGGCUCACCAAGCCGACGAUGCCUACCGGGUGUGAGAGCAUGACCCGGCACACUGGAACUGAGACACUGUCCAGACACCUACGGGUGGCUGCAGUCGAGAAUCUUCGGCAAUGGGCGAAAGCCUGACCGAGCGACGCCGCGUGAGGGAUUGAAGGCCUUCGGGUUGUAAACCUCUUUCGUAGAGGAGGAAGGGGCCGUGAAGAACGGUCUUUGACCUAUUCUAGGAAGAAGCUUGGGCUAAGUUCGUG
rnacentral:rRNA from 1 species